GCGAGCACUCACUUUGGCAGCACUAAAAUUGGAGCGAUUCAGAGAAAAUUACCAUGGGCCCUGUGCAAAGAUGACAUGCAAAUUUGUGAAGUAUUUCAUAUUUUU
ensembl:snRNA U6 U6 spliceosomal RNA